rnacentral:rRNA from 1 species
UACGUAGGGGCCUAGCGUUGUCCGGAUUUAUUGGGCGUAAAGAGCUCGUAGGCGGUCUGUUGCGUCCGCUGUGAAAACUCGGGGCUUAACCCCGAGCCUGCAGUGGAUACGGGCAGACUAGAGGUAGGUAGGGGAGAAUGGAAUUCCCGGUGUAGCGGUGAAAUGCGCAGAUAUCAGGAGGAACACCGGUGGCGAAGGCGGGUCUCUGGGCCGAUACUGACGCUGAGGAGCGAAAGCGUGGGGAGCGAACAGG